UAGUCCUGAGAUGAUAAAAUGUUUUUAAUAAAACAUUCCUUUAAAUUGACUUUUUAACAAACAUUUUGCAUGAUACAUUUUGAGGAUUUUUUGUCGAAAUGUUGUUAUCUUUUAUAAAUCAUUGGCACAAUAACAAAGGAGGAACAUUAUCAAAGCAACAUUCAUCAAAUGUUUUGUGGACAUUUACCUGAGAUGACAAAAUCUCAUAAUAUAUGUUAACAAAAGCUCAUAAAAUUGUAAGGAUAUUUUAAGGAAGCUGUUUAGGUAACAUAUUUUAGAAUUAUUUUAACCUAUAGAAUAAUGGCAUAAUUUUCCAUAAUAAAAGAGGAACAUUGUCAAAACAGCAUACGUAAAGUGUUUUGAGGAUAUAUUAGGCUACUCUGAACUGAACUGCUGCGACAAAUGCGUUUACAAGAGAUGAGAAGCUGAUUGGAGGUCGCUGUAGAUCAACGUUUAAAACCACCAAUCACAGCGCGAUGUUCCCAUGACGUAAGAACAUUUGAACUCGACAAACAGCGCAAAUAAAGCAACGUUUCUGUUGAAGAACUCGGCGCAGAAUGUCCGUUGUCUAAAUUGGCGACACAUUGGCCCAAAACAACAGAACUCCUGGUCAACGGAACUCUUUCACAACUGUAAGUUUUUGUGUGUAUUUUUUCAGUUUACAUAGCUUUCUCUUGUCCUUGAUGUCUUUCAGUAUUAGACCUAACUUUCUACUUUCUUAGAAUUGUAUGACAGUCGCAAUAAAUCUGAGUGUAUGCUACUUUUGAAUAACAGCUAGAUUUGUUUUAAUGCAGACUCCAAACGGACUGUUUCAAGAUGAUUAACUUACCGAUCACACAAUAAAGUCUCCAUUUACAACCAAGAAUGGCAGUGAAUGGCCGUCUAUCAAGGCGCAUCCAUCCAUGAUAAAAGUAAUCCACCACAUGACUCUGGCGGGGUUAUAAAGCCCUUUUAAAGCGAAGCAUUUGUGCUAUGAGGAAAAACUCUACUGUGCACACAGAGAACAGAGCUCAAUGCUAACUGGGGGAGCAGCUGGACAACUAGAAGAGAGAAUAGUAGAACACUACUAUUAAUACAGAUUCCUGGAUUAUUUUUCUGCAAGAACCAAAACAAGCAAAGACUGAUGAUGAGUGCUCUGAGCAAACACUGGAGUCAAGACGCAUGAGUGACUUUACUGAGUUCUUCAUGUAAUGUUGGGCAUUUACUGUACGCAGAACUUCUAAUAAUUUAUGUGGAUGCCAUUUAUAAACCUGUUAGAUUUUGAUGUUUUAGUUUUGAGAUUAAUAAAAUGUUAUGCUUUAACAAUGUUAUAGCUAAUCAUUUUUGAGGGGUUUUAAGUGAACAUUUUGGGAACAAAAAUAAACUUCCGCUAAAAACUUUAUAAGAAAGUUAGGGGAUAAUGUUUUAAAAAUGUUAUGAUUAAACCUUUAUAGAAGGUCAUCACAAAACAUUUUCAGAGUGUUCAUAGAGAAUGUUAUGCCAUCUUUUAAGAGAACAUUCUGGGAACAAAAAGAAAACUACCCGCUGAAAAUGAUAUAAGAACGUUGGGGAAUAAUU